UACGAGAGGCCCAAACGUUAUUCGGAAUUACUGGGCUUAAAGAAUUCGUAGGCGGCAUGACAAGUAGGGUGUGAAAGCCCUCGGCUCAACCGAGGAAUUGCGCUCUAAACUGUCGUGCUUGAGGAACCUAGAGGUGAGCAGAACAGAUGGUGGAGCGGUGAAAUGCGUUGAUAUCAUCUGGAAUACCGGAGGCGAAGGCGGCUCACUGGGAGUUUUCUGACGCUGAGGAACGGAAAGCCAGGGUAGCGAACGGG
rnacentral:rRNA from 1 species